AAUUCCGCGCGAUUCCCAUAUUUUUGUGUGUUAUAGCCCACACCUUCCGAGUGGUCCCGGGACCUCAGGACCCCUAUCACCUAACAUUUUUACGGACUAUCAAAUAUGACCUAAGGAACCAUAGUCACCGCCCAGCCAUGAUCAUUCCUCAUUUAUUGCAUUUUUCGUCCAAACAACCAGAAUUUAGCUCGAUUACCAUAUUUUUUUGUGCUAUUGCCCACGCCUUCCGAGUGGGCCGGGCCAUCAAUUAGUACCUAAGGAACCAUAGUCACCGCCCCGCCAUGAUCGUUCCUCAUUUAUUGCAUUUCUCGGCCAAAACACUACAAUUCUGCUCGAUUACCAUAUUUUUGUGUGCUAUUGCCCACACCUUCAGAGUGGUCCCGGGACCUCCUGACCCCUAUCGCCUAAAAUUUUUCCGGACUAUCAAAUACGACCUAAGGAACUAUAGAAUCCGCCCCGCCAUGAUCGUUCCUCUUUUUUUGCAUUUUUCGGCCAAACAACUAGAAUUCUGCGCGAUUCCCAUAUUUUUGUG
rnacentral:lncRNA from 1 species